ACGGAGGGUGCGAGCGUUAAUCGGAAUCACUGGGCGUAAAGCGCACGUAGGCGGUGUCGUAAGUCGGAUGUGAAAGCCCUCGGCUCAACCGGGGAACUGCAUUCGAUACUGCGAUGCUUGAGUGCCGGAGAGGGUGGCGGAAUUCCAGGUGUAGGAGCGCGAUCCGUAGAUAUCGGGAGGAACACCAGUGGCGAAGGCGGCCACCUGGCAGUCAACUGAGGCUGAUGUGCGAAAGCGUAUGGAUCAAGGAG
rnacentral:rRNA from 1 species